rnacentral:misc_RNA from 1 species
GGGAUCCAGAUCGAGCGCCGGUGCGGAGGAGGGAAGGAUGAUGUGGAAGGACGCCGGAGCUCCGACGGAUUCGUUUUACGAGGUGCGGGCUGAGUGUAAUGAUGUGCCGAAGACGAAGUUCAAGAUCAAGGCGGGGAAGACUCUCAGUGUGCGAAGAUGGCAGGCUGCAUUUAGUCCGGAGGGUUACUUGGAUAUUGCCCCAACCCUAAGUCGCAUUCACCGUGGGGGUAUUCACCCUUCGAUUAGAGGAGAAGUUUGGGAGUUCCUACUUGGUUGCUUUGAACCUAAAAGCACCUUUGAAGAGAGAGAACAGCUGAGACAACGCCGGAGAGUGCAAUACUAUAGAUGGAAGGAAGAGUGCAGGGAAAUGGAUUCUCAUGUUGGCAGUGAUAAAA